AGAGUUGUAUCCUGGCUCAGGAUGAACGCUGGCGAGAUGCCUUAUACAUGCAAGUCGUACGAGAGUUUUUAACUCAAGUGGCGGACGGGUGAGUAACACGUAAGAAUUUGCCUUUAGGAGGGGGACAACAACUGGAAACGGUUGCUAAUACCCCAUAUGCUUUCGAGUGAAAUGGAUUUUUCCGCCUAGAGAGAAGCUUGCGGCUGAUUAGCUUGUUGGUGAGGUAAUGGCUCACCAAGGCGACGAUCAGUAUCUGGUUUGAGAGGAUGAUCAGACACACUGGAACUGAGACACGGUCCAGACUCCUACGGGAGGCAGCAGUAGGGAAUUUUCCGCAAUGGGCGAAAGCCUGACGGAGCAAUCUCGCGUGAGGGAUGACGGCCUAUGGGUUGUAAACCUCUUUUUUCAGGGAGGAAUUAAUGACGUGUACCUGAAGAAUAAGCAUCGGCUAACUCCGUGCCAGCAGCCGCGGUAAGACGGAGGAUGCAAGUGUUAUCCGGAAUCACUGGGCGUAAAGCGUCUGUAGGUGGUUUAAUAAGUCAACUGUUAAAUCUUGAAGCUUAACUUCAAAAUCGCAGUCGAAACUAUUAGACUAGAGUAUAGUAGGGGUAAAGGGAAUUUCCAGUGGAGCGGUGAAAUGCGUAG
rnacentral:rRNA from 1 species